CCUACGGGACGCAGCAGUGAGGAAUAUUGGUCGAUGGGCGCGAGCCUGAACCAGCCAAGUCGCGUGAGGGAAGACGGUCCUAUGGAUUGUAAACCUCUUUUGUCGGGGAGCAAAAGACGCCACGCGUGGCGUUCCGAGAGUACCCGAAGAAAAAGCAUCGGCUAACUCCGUGCCAGCAGCCGCGGUAAUACGGAGGAUGCGAACGUUAUCCGGAUUUAUUGGGUUUAAAGGGUGCGUAGGCGGGACAUUAAGUCAGCGGUAAAAUAGAGGGG
rnacentral:rRNA from 1 species